rnacentral:lncRNA from 1 species
GUCUCUUUUUAGUAAUACUGAUAAUUUUUAAGCCAAAAAUACCCUCUUCAUAUGGAAAUUACAUUUAUAUAAAAAAGAGGUUUAAAGGGGGUUACCUUAACUCCAGGAGAGUUCCAGCUUAAUUUGGAGCCUUUUUCUCCAAAAAAUUUAGCAACAUUCUUGGAUGUUUUUAAGCUAUUUCUAACCUCAAAAUAUCCCUUACAACAUU